UUUGUCGCGUUCGCCUGCAGCGAGAUUCCGUGCAAAGUUUGAUUUUGUGUGUUUUCAGAAGUUCAACGAGUUUCUGAGUUUUCGAAGUGCGUGCACACAUUUAGAUUAUUAAAACACCUUGCCAAAUAUACAUAUAUUUUUUUCGAGUGCUUGGAGCGCCACUCGUACAGCUGUUGGUAUCGUAAAGUUUGAUUGACAGUUACCAGUAUAUCAGCUGCAGCGUGCAUCAGUCAAUACAAAAGCCGAAGCCCCGCUCUGGCCAGGACAACAGCAAUAAGUGCGCAACACCAAUGCGUCCCAUCAACACAGCUCAGCAUGGAGCAGUGUAACUAGAGCGCGCACAUCCAACAGUCGGCCAACCAGGUGGACAGCGAAUAGCGGAAGCAAUACCUUCAAAGUCUAAAGCCGUCGCAACCAAGGCCGUCAAAUUGGAAGGAAAACGCCUUUUCACGGCAGUUAACAAGUUUUUAACUGGUUCAACAAUUGCCCGCGAGCUGAGGCAGCUAAUGACGAAGAACGCGC
rnacentral:sRNA from 1 species